GAUGAACGCUGACAGGAUGCUUAACACAUGCAAGUCUACUUGAACUUCGGUUUGGGUGGCGGACGGGUGAGUAACGCGUAAAGAACUUGCCUCACAGUUAGGGACAACAUUUGGAAACGAAUGCUAAUACCUGAUAUUAUGAUUUUAGGGCAUCCUAAGAUUAUGAAAGCUAUAUGCGCUGUGAGAGAGCUUUGCGUCCCAUUAGCUAGUUGGAGAGGUAACGGCUCACCAAGGCGAUGAUGGGUAGCCGGCCUGAGAGGGUGAACGGCCACAAGGGGACUGAGACACGGCCCUUACUCCUACGGGAGGCAGCAGUGGGGAAUAUUGGACAAUGGACCAAAAGUCUGAUCCAGCAAUUCUGUGUGCACGAUGACGUUUUUCGGAAUGUAAAGUGCUUUCAGUUGGGAAGAAAAAAAUGACGGUACCAACAGAAGAAGUGACGGCUAAAUACGUGCCAGCAGCCGCGGUAAUACGUAUGUCACAAGCGUUAUCCGGAUUUAUUGGGCGUAAAGCGCGUCUAGGUGGUUAUGUAAGUCUGAUGUGAAAAUGCAGGGCUCAACUCUGUAUUGCGUUGGAAACUGCAUGACUAGAGUACUGGAGAGGUAAGCGGAACUACAAGUGUAGAGGUGAAAUUCGUAGAUAUUUGUAGGAAUGCCGAUGGGGAAGCCAGCUUACUGGACAGAUACUGACGCUAAAGCGCGAAAGCGUGGGUAGCAAACAGG
rnacentral:rRNA from 1 species